rnacentral:lncRNA from 1 species
CUGCCGUGACCGGCUCGGGGAGGUGGCCAACCGCUCCCGGAACCGCAGCUCCUGGAGAAAGCGGGCUGGAGCACGCGGGGCUGUCAGGCGCCUGGCCGGGACUGGCGAGUGCAGGAGGCUCACCCACUCCUUCCUCUAGUGGACGGUUUCCGCAGCCGCUGUUCGUCCUUUAGCUCCUGCAGCGAGUUGGAGGAUUUCUCUAAAUAUCUCCCUAGAGGGCUCGACCUCACCCUCUUCAUGGCGGACAACCAGGCGGGGUGCCAAGCCUGCUUCAACCUCCCCAGGAAACACCUGGAACCAAGGAAAUGACCGCUGGACCCCUGCUGAUUGAUAUGAUGGGUAGUUUAAGUCAGCGGCUCUUAGGAAAGGAGCAGAUUUUGAAAACAUGACAGUUAUGAAUGACUCAAUUGUUUUUACAACCAACUGGAGAAUUGGAAGCCACUGCUCUAGCCUGCAGCUGUAGAGACAGGAGGCUAAAAGAUCAGGGAGAUCUGUGGUGCUGCCCCCACUCCCCACUGAGAGAACUCAGACAUUUAGG